GUCUUUAAGAUGUUUGUGAUUUAAAAUGUAAGAGACAUUUAUCAGAUGUUUGUACACAGCAGAUGCUUUCCAGACAAACCUUCUCAAAAAGACAUCUUGGAGACCAUCCAGGCUGAAAGUGUUUAAAAACUACAUUUUUACAUACAUUCUAAAUCAUAAACAUCUUAAAAACAUUUUAGAAAUGACUAUUUAACAUCUGACAAGAAACGCCUCAUCAGCCUGAUUUGGACGGUUAUUAUUUCUCAUGGGGACAUAAGCGAUUUUCAACAUUUACAGGGAACACAUGAAUGACGUCACAACCAAGUGGACCGUGUUCCAGUAGAGAAGUCAGAAAAAAAAAAAAU
ensembl:lncRNA